rnacentral:lncRNA from 1 species
CCCGAGAGCUGAAAAUCUGCAGUUUGCAGAAUUUUGAUUCUUAGCUCUCGAAAACCUUCCACAACACUCUUUUACUCAUUUUAACACAUUCGGACUUUCCGAAAUGUAACGUCCUCGCACUUUGGUCAAUUUGACUAAAGUUCGAUAUUGAUAUUUCGAAUUCUCGGUAUAUUACAUUCUCAACCCCUUAAAAUAAUUUCGUCCGCGAAAUUACGCAUACCUUAACUUGUUGACUCGAAUAA